rnacentral:lncRNA from 1 species
GCUCAAUUACCAACACCCUAUUCUCUCUCACGGUUACCAACUCCUCCCAAACUCACUUCCAUUGCCACUCUGCUUGAAUCUCAACAAAUUUGAAAAUAAAACCUUCAUAUAAGGCCAUUUCCAUUCAUUUCUAGGAAAAUUAUCAUGACAAAACACUGACCGUAAACUUUGUUAGCAGACUAUUAUAAAGGUUGAUUUAAUUUAGUAAAUAAUUUAAAAUUCUAACACCAAAGUUCCAAAGAUCCACCACAUAACUAGUCACCCAAGCUUGAAGACCAUCGUAACUCCACAAAGACCACAACGCAAACUUGCCUUCUAAACCGAGCACCCGAAGGCUUGGAUAUUGGUGAAGUUCAAUACCAGAUCCGAUCGACUUUGCAAGUUUUGUUAAUGUUCUUAGAGGGAGGAAUAAACCGGAACUUCGGCGCACCAACACGACCAUCAAUCACAGAGCAAGAGCUUUGUGUAGUGGCAACUGCAAAGAACCAUCACAGUGGAAUAUGGAGGAGCGCUCGCCGGAAACGAUUGAAAGAGAGAAACUGGCUCAUUAUUCUUUUUCUCUUUUUUUUUUUAUAAUUGAAAUGACACGUGUCCUAUUUUUAUUUGUUGUGCCUAUAAUUGAUGUGAUGUAUGUAUGCCUCUCUCAUAUGAGAGCUGCUAGCGGGAUUCAUAUUUUAUUGAUCACU